UCUGUUUAAGUCUCAAUAGUCAACACAUACUCUGACUUUCCCAUCUUUAUUUGGAACUGGCACAAUGUUGGCUAACAAGGUUGAGUACUCAACCACUCUAGGGACUUUGGCUUUGAACUAUUUAGUGACUUCCUCCUUAAUUUUCAGGCUCAUAUCUGGUUUGAAUUUCCUGAGUUUCUGCUUCACUGGCGGGCACAUGGGAUUUGUAGGCAACUUGUGAGCCACUAUAGACG
rnacentral:lncRNA from 1 species